ACUUCAAAAGUGGUUUAUUUGUAAAGGUGGUCCAUUCAAACGGAAAAUGGCUCCGAUAUAUAUCGGUAUCGUAUCGUAUGUUCGUCGUUUUCCGUCGUCGCACGCUUGACCACACUCGCAAACGACGAUGAGUUGUUUCUUUAACGAUGGGUAGGUGAUCGUUAGGUUUCUCGGUAACUAGACGUCUAACGUCUUUUACCUCCCUCGUGAACAGUGGAGGUUGAAGUCGUACAGACUAGAGAUGGGGCGGUUUCGUUUACGACGAGUACGAGGCUCUAGCUCCUCCGAGAGGAUGUAGAGGGGACGACGGAGAAGACGACGACGAGGCUUGGGGUCGAUGUCUGCCUCCUUCCCGUGCAGCGGGGGCGGCGGCAGCUGACGGCGGUGGCGGUGGCAGGAGUGGAGCGGCGGGUUCGGCCAGCUCGUCGUUCUCUGCCUUCUCGUGGACCAGCUGUGCAGCUGUUUGUUACGUUGACCAUGUGCUCACCGAUGGCGCUCUUGCUCGUCCCGUUGGCUACGCGGAGCCAGCAGGUCCGGAGCGGCGGCCGGAUGACGAAGCGAUGUCCGCCGCAAGACGUUGCGCGACCUCCUCCGCUAGUUGUGCAAGCAGCUGGGCGGCCACGACGCCGGCAGCCACCUGGGCGCCGUGCACGACAGGCGGUUGAAGCGCGGGCACCUGCUCGACGGCGGGUGCGGGACGGGGCACCACGCGCCGCAGUAGGGCGCGACGGAGCGGCCGCCGCGGAUGUAGGCGUUGCCCGGGUUGGGCGUCGUAGAGGGCGCGCCCGGCGUGGUGGAGAAGCUGCCGCUGCCGUACGACGUGAGAGACGAGGAGGGCUGCCGCGGGCUGAGGCUGGGGCAGGAGACGAGGGCGAUGCACGUCUGCAUGUUCAUGUAGCACCUCGCGUUGCGCCCGCUCGGCCAGAACGGGUUGCAGAAGAGGCCGAAGGUGCCGGACCGGCCCUACCGCGCGCCGCGGCAGUGCCGCCGGUCCCACGACUGUCCGGUCUACUUGGGCUACCUCCCGCACCCCGAGCGGUUGUGGUCGGAGCGGCAGAAGCCGCCGGCGGAGAUGCGCGAGCCGCUUAGCCUGGAGGGCAUGCGGCACGCGCAGCUGGGCCGGUGGCCACUCCACUGGUGCGAGCCAUCCACGCUGAAGCCACCGGCGGAGUCGUACCCGUACUGGCGCGUGGGGUUCUUCCUGGGGUAGUGGCCGCUCGAGAAGCGCAAGGCGAUGCCGGGGUACGGCGGCAAGCAGUGGAUGAAGGCCAAGCUGGGCCGUCCCUUGUUCCCGCGGCUGCACGGGUAGAAGAGGCAGUUCGUCGGCAGAAAGGACGUGCUGAAGCGGCACUGCCUCGUAAUACGCUAUAAGGGCCUCUAUGUCUAGCACUACUUGGGGUACCCGUACCACCACCCGCCGCCGAGCGGGCAGCCCCGCCUGGGGCCGUACCACGGAGCGGAGCCGCACUAGGGGUUCAUGCGGCGCCUGCUCAGCCUCUACGCCACCAAGCUCCACGGCCCCAAGUUGUACUACGUGAGCCACUUGCGCACCCUCCUCCGGCCGCCGCUCCUCUAGCACUACCACCGCGGGUUGUAGGACAGGUAGCUCGUGUGCGACCUCGCGUACCUCGACUAGGUGCGGAGGCACCUCGACCACGCGUAGUUGGAGGCGUGGCCGUUGCAGUGGGCGUGCGGCGAGCGCCGCCGCUUGGAGCUGAAGCCGCACUAGUUGGGCCCGACGGAACCGGCGGCGUUGGCGAUGCCGAUGAAGCCGCACCCGCUGGGGUACGGGUUCUAGCCGCCCCACCGGUUCGAGCUGAAGCUGGCGCGGCCGGUGCCGCUGACGUGGCACCGCGCGGCCCUGAAGCCCGGCCCCACGAAGCGGCCCCUCGGCAAAAAGCAGGGGCUGCUGCAGCUCCCCUUGCCGCUGCUCCUGCUGCCGAUGCACCACACGAUGCACGUGCUGCUCCCGUGGCCGCUGUUGGCCAAGCACCACUACCUGCGCGUCAGCGGGCUCGACCUGUAGCAGCGGCUCCACGUCGAAGGGAGGGCGCAGGGGAUGCCGAAGGUGCCGGACAAGCAGUGCUUCCGGCUCGAGGCCAGUGUCGUAGUUACUAGUAGUCUAAGUCCGUGUGGUGACGGUCUACAAAGGCGCGGUACCUAACUAGCGCGCUACAUAUUAUCAUCUGGUUGUCUCACCACGUACCCAUCCAGUACAUAUCCUAGGGUACUGUAUGUGUAUCCACUUUAACCAUAGAGUACACAUCGUAAAUGUAAAAAUGUUCUUUCUUGAUAGCCACUUUUUGUAUGGACGUCAUGUUUUUUUGUCGGACCUUUUAUGAACGUUGCGUGUAGGUCGGACGUCUUAACGAUUGAGUAACUCAUCAUCAUGCUUUGUUCCCUAAAGUGCCCUAUAUGUAUGAUGACCUAAAGUGCUUCAGCCACCUCGAUGGAACGUAAACCAAUAUCUUAUUAGUUAAGUCGUAGGAGUCACACAACAAUCGGAUCUUUUUGUCGUACUUGUACCGAAGAGAAAACAGAUUUAAUUGGAUUGUCGAGGAUACCUUCUACGGAUCGUCUUCAACGCAUCUGGUUGAAGAGUUCUAAGUACACCGUGUAAGGUUUCGGAUCUUUCCCUAUAUUUCCCGGACCCCGACUCCAAUGGCGGGAAAUACUGAACUCUUCGUGGCAGCGUACCGAGGUUACGCGUAAAAUGUAUUCCAUGAGGUCACCGUCAGUUCAAAAGAGAUGCAGCGCGGGUCCACUGUUACAUAUUUGGUCUCUACUA
rnacentral:rRNA from 1 species